rnacentral:rRNA from 1 species
GACGAACGCUGGCGGCGUGCUUAACACAUGCAAGUCGAACGGAAAGGCCCUGCUUUUGUGGGGUUCUCGAGGGGCAAACGGGUGAGUAACACGUGAGUAACCUGCUCUUGACUUUGGUAUGACUUCAGGAAACUGGGGCUAAUACCGUAUAGGAGCUCCUGCUGCAUGGUGGGGGUUGGAUAUUUUCGGCUGGUGGGGAUGGACUGGCGGCUUAUGAGCUUGUUGGUUGGGUAGUGGCUUACCAAGGGUUUGGCGGGUAGCCGGCCUGGGAGGGUGACCGGCAACCUGGGGCCUGAGAUAGGGCCCAGACUCCUACGGGAGGCAGCAGUGGGGAAUAUUGCACAAUGGGCCGAAGCCGGUGGCAGCAACGCCGGGGGCGGGAUGACGGCCUUCGGGUUGUAAACCGCUUUCGCCUGUGACGAAGCUUGAGUGACGGUAAUGGGUAAAGAAGCACCGGCUAACUACGUG